rnacentral:rRNA from 1 species
UACGGGGGGGAGCAAGCGUUGUUCGGAUUUACUGGGCGUAAAGGGCGCGUAGGCGGUCGUGACAAGUCACUUGUGAAAUCUCCGGGCUUAACUCGGAACGGUCAAGUGAUACUGUCGGACUAGAGUACAGAAGGGGCAACUGGAAUUCUCGGUGUAGCGGUGAAAUGCGUAGAUAUGCGGAGGAACACCGAUGGCGAAGGCAAUCCCCUGGACCUGUACUGACGCUCAUGCACGAAAGCGU